AGUGAAGGGGGACGCGUUAUUCGACCCGAAAGUAAUGCCUCCUAUUUAUCUCCAUGGAAAGUACACCAGCUACAAAGAGCGCAAUGAUAUUGUUUGAUAGAGCAAGUUCUCAGCUACAAAGCACUAUUUUUCAACGUAGUCCCCACCACUAGCUCUGCGUUUUCACCAGCGAUGAACGUGCUGCUCUCAUAAAAACUUGACCCAGCAGAGAGGAUCGCUGUCACUGUCGCCGCUGCUGAGACACACCACCCACCACCACGCUGCACUCACAUCCACUGCUUGGUCUCCAUAAAUGCUCAUCAGGUGUUGGUGAAUGUCAGUGAGCACUUCUUCAGCCUCUGCUGCCAUCCCACCAUCAGGAGGCAUUACUUUUGGAGCAGCCCUUGUCACUCAAUUGCUCGCUGCUUGUCAGCGCUAAUUUCCUCCUGCCCACGGCCUGGCUGUCCACCUUGGUCUGAGACAAUAAAAAUGUAGAACCUGUGCUGUGAUGUAGUGCCCUUCACAACCAAGAGCAGGGUGAGCGUUCCCGUUGUGACACCACGGGGGUUUGCAUUAUGCCAAAACACUCAGCCUGCCAUGUGGAUACAUCUUUGGCUCAUGUGUGGCAAUUCUGAGAUUGCAACACUUUUCUGGAAAGCAGCACUCAUGCUACAGAGUGUUGGCCUUCCUCACCUUAAACAUUUUCCAGGAGUUUCCAUUUCCCCGUGACAUGGCCGUUACUAUGCUACGAGGUGACAAGUGAAAGCUUAAGAUGAGCCACAGCCUGUGGGCAUUAACACCAGGAAUCCUUGCUCUCCUCCAUGUGAACUUCAAUCCAGUAAACAUGGAGAGCGUCCCGUCCCUGCGCUGCCUGCUGAGUCACGCUGGGCUCUCCGGCCAUGACAUCAUGCACUUUCUCAAAACACAAAGAAAACAAGGCCUUGGCUGGGCUGCGGUGAGCUCAGCUCAUGGUCACGGGAUGGGGUGACUCAGCGUCCCCUCCUCCUCCUUGAGGUGGGGAUUUCCCUCUCCCAGCCCUGAUGCUGGUGUUUCCCCAUGGCCCAGCGCUGGGGCCCUGCUGUGGUCCCAGGUAUUCCUAUGACGCUCACUGCGUCCUCCUAUCCCCACAGCUGGACAGACAGACGGAUGUCUCCCUACCAAACCCCACCUGCACACAGCUCUGCAGCCUGAGAUUUGUCUUGAGCUUAUAUUAACUUGAGCUUGUAUUAACCUGGAGGACCUGGGUUUGGCAUUCAUUUGGCAGCACUGAAUGUUUUCAUGCCAUUCUUUAGGAAUGCCAUCACAUUCAAUCAGAGCAACCCUUGCCCAAAAAGCCACUUGGCAACCCCGGCUUCUGAGCAGCUCCCCAGAUGGACAGAGCAGAAGGACAGCAAAGGGGAUGGAAAUAAAACUGCUCCAGUUUCACGUUUCCAAGUUGCAGAGGAAGGGCUCAGAAAGGAGCAGUCAGCACCCCUGCAGCUCUGCUUCCUCCCUCCACCCACCUUCUGCUGGAAAGUGUUUAAAAAUAUUUGCUGAGAUUGCUGCUUCGAGGGCCUGAUCGCCGAAAGUGCUCCUUCUGCCCAAGCUCUGCGCUGUCACAGCAAAGCCCUGCUGGGAGGCAGCUCCCAUGCUCGCAGACCACAGCAGAGGCUGCUGGUGGUUCUCCAGAGGGAAUCAUUCUCCAAAUCACUGCCCCACAACAACCCAAGGGGCUGCAGCUGGGUGGGAGGGUAGGGUUUGCCCCCAUGCAGAGCCACAGUGAGCAGGUGCUGGUGCUUUCCAGAGGCUUCUGGAGAGGGAUCUUCCGGAUGUGCGAGGGCGGAAGACACAGGCACUGAGCGAAGAAGACAGGAAAAAGGUGCAGAUGACAAGCACAAAGUGCAGCACGCAUCUGUGCCAUGAGAAUACAUCAGAACUCCAUGUUUGCACAGUGCAGGUGCACCGCAAACCCCAAGCGGUGGGAGCGUUUUGCACAUCUGGAAACAGCCCCUCAGCAUCUGAUGCAGCAGAACGUGUCCUGCUAUUGCCCUGAGCUCUGCAAUGGCUGUAGGGCUCGGCACGCUGCUCCCACCCACAGCUCUCUGGAGGGAUUCCCCCAUUAACUGCAGCUCCUACAGUGCACGUCAAGGUUUCAAAAAGUGAUUUGUAGCCCCAAAUGGAGAAGGGAUGCAGAGCUGCCCCAUUCCACCCCACGCACAGGGCUGCUCAUAAUGCAGCAGUGCUGCAGCUCUGGGAGCCUGAGGUGCUCUGCGUUUUCAACCCAGCCUCACUGUGCAGCCCACAAGGAAACGAAGCUGGGCCCAUCAGCAGAAGAUGGCACAAGCAAAGUAACAUUUGUAUCUGAUUUCUUCUGUCCUGGCCCGCAGUUGAAGGUGGACUCUGUGUGGGGUCUCUCUGCACCCACAGCACUGUGCACAGAGUUGUGUGUACUCAGUGCACACCUAUAUAUGUACAGAGAGAGAGAUAGACAGGUGCAUACAGGGAUAUGUACCCAGGCACUCACUUUCAUAUGCACACAGACCUGUGCGGGCACCCUUGGGUGUGUGCAAGACUAUGUCAGGAGUUGUUCAUGCACACACAUACACACGUGUGCAACUGUGUGCACAACCUGAACAUAGAGAUAUGUGCCUUUAUAUAUGCAAACCAUGAGUAUGCACAGCAGCGCAUAGGUACACACACUGCAUGCACACGCACGAACACGUACAUGCAUGUACACACGCACACACACGCGCACACACGCACACUCCAUCUCCGCCGCUGCCGCGCCGCAUUCCCCCGCACGGGGGC